rnacentral:rRNA from 1 species
GAGUUUGAUCCUGGCUCAGGAUGAACGCUGGCGGCGUGCUUAAUACAUGCAAGUCGAACGGAGGUAGCAAUACUUCAGUGGCGACCGGGUGCGUAACACGUAGCUGACCUGCCCCUCAGCGGGGGAUAACAUCUCGAAAGAGGUGCUAAUACCGCAUGAACUCCUGGACUUUAGAAAGCCAGGAGAAAACUUCAGGGGUUGAGGGAGGGAGCUGCGGCCCAUCAGGUAGUUGGUAAGGUAGUGGCUUACCAAGCCGAUGACGGGUAGGGGGCCUGAGAGGGUGGUCCCCCACACUGGAACUGACACACGGUCCAGACUCCUACGGGAGGCAGCAGUAAGGGAUAUUGGUCAAUGGGCGCAAGCCUGAACCAGCAACGCCGCGUGCAGGAUGACGGCCUUCGGGUUGUAAACUGCUUUUGUCGGGGACGAGAGAGGACGGUACCCGGCGAAUAAGUCACGGCUAACUACGUGCCAGCCGCCGCAGGAACACGUAGGUGGCGAGCGUUAUCCGAAUUUACUGAGCGUAAAGCGUGCGCAGACUGACUAGCAGGUGGUGUAUGAAAUCGCGGUGCUUAACACAGCGAGGUUAUGCCAGACUGCUGGACUAGAGUGCGAGAGAGGGAUGUGGAAUUCCGGGUGUAGUGGUGAAAUGCGUAGAGAUCCGGAGGAACCCAGAAGGCGAAAGCGGCGUCCUGGCUCGCAACUGACGUUCAGACACGACAGCAUGGGGAGCAAACGGGAUUAGAAACCCCGGUAGUUCAUGCCGUAAACGAUGCCGACUAGGCGCUGGUGGUGAUAAACCGUCGGUGCCGCAGCUAACGCGAUAAGUCGGCCGCCUGGGGACUACGGCCGCAAGGCUAAAACUCAAAGGAAUUGACGGGGGCCCGCACAAGCAGCGGAGCGUGUGGUUUAAUUCGAGGCUACACGAAGAACCUUACCUAGACUUGACAUGGGACAGAACGAAGGUGAAAGCCUGAGGUUCGCAAGACUGUUUCACAGGUGCUGCAUGGCUGUAGUCAGCUCGUGUCGUGAGAUGUUAGGUUAAGUCCUGUAACGAGCGCAACGCCUGGUGGUAGUUACACGGUGUCUACCGCAACUGCCUGCGUAAGUGGGAGGAAGGUGGGGAUGACGUCAAGUCAGCAUGGCCUUUAUGUCUAGGGCUACACACACGCUACAAUGGUCGGUACAACAGGACGUCAAGCGGCAACGCGGAGCAAAUCCUCUAAAGCCGAUCUCAGUUCAGAUUGUGGGCUGCAACCCGCCCACAUGAAGUCGGAGUUGCUAGUAACCGCGCGUCAGCCAUAGUGCGGUGAAUACGUUCCCGGGCCUAAGUACACACCGCCCGUCACGUCAUGGGAGCUGGUCACGCCUGAAGCCGGUGGGCAAACCGCAAGGAUGCAGCCGUCUAAAGCAGGGCCGGUGACUGGGACGAAGUCGUAACAAGGUAAC